rnacentral:lncRNA from 1 species
GCACAUGCGCAGAUUAUUUGUUUACCACUUAGAACACAGGAUGUCAGCGCCAUCUUGUAACGGCGAAUGUGGGGGCGGCUCCCAACACUUGUAGGCAUGCCUUGAGUAUUUUCUUGAGUGUUAAUUGAUGUUGGAGGGCCCAGUCCACUGUGGGCAGUACUACCCUUAGGCAGGCACUCCUGGGGUGUAUAAGAAAGCUAACCAAGCAAAGUGUGAUAAUUUGUAUAUGCUCAGCCCAUUAGAUUGUGUGGCCCUGUAAGAGUAGGUAUGUCACUGUGGGUUUGGGCUUUAAGAGUCAUCCAGGUGGUACUGGUUUUGAAGACAUGAAGGGGUCAUGAAGAGCAGCUGAGGCUUGGCACUGUGAGAGGCCAUGGAAGGCCAUUGGUGAAAGUGCAGCCUUAAUUGCAGUUGAUGGUCCAGGACCUGAAGGAGUCACACAAAGGAUUUGAAGCUUGGCACCAUGAAGAGAGCCUAUGAGAGGCUAUUGGUGAAGCCUAGUUGCUUCAGAAGACCCCGUGUACUGAAGAUGCCAGUGCCAUGGGAUGAUCACCAAGAACAGCAGCAGCAGCAGUGGAGUGGAUCAACCUGAGCUUAGAGUGCUACAGAGGGCAGAGCUGGAGAAAGCUGCUAACAGGGAGUGGAACAAGCCCAGAAACAAGAAGUUUGUUGCAGUCAACAAUGAUGAAAACAAAGCUGGAGAUCUGAAGAACUCCUUGAAAUCGGACAUGGAGGUGCAGAGUUUGGAGUUUGUCCAGCUGGUUUCCUGUCUUGCUUUGGGUAUUACAGUUAAAUGAUUGGAUGAAUCUCAGAAGAGACUUUGAACUUUGGGCUUUUAACAUUGUUGAGACUGCUAUAGACUAUGAGGACCUUUGAUGUUAGACUAAAUUUAUUUUGGGUAAUGCUGUGUUUAGCUUUGGCCCCCAAUAGGCUCAUAUGUUUGAACAAACCUAUGGGGUCCAGGGAGUGGCAUGUGUUUGAAUAUGCUCUGCUACAUCCACUCCAGUAGUGACAAGUGCGACAGGCCCCAAAAACCUGGGCGCUGUCCCGAGGCAAAAAGUUCAUGGAAACUUAGUUUCCUAGAACCAUGGCAUCCUGUAUAACGAAUGCUCCAAUGUCCUUGCUUUAGUUGGUAAAUGGAUCUGUGUGCUUUCCCCUAAUAUUGCUUUAUUAUAAGUGCCUCUAUUUGACAUAUAGCUAAAUUAGAUUCUAGGCAGUCCUUGAGCCGACCCUGGGCAUGGAUAGCUAAGUCACUGCCCUACACAGGAAUUUACCAUUAUCUAGGAAGAAGGACGUUUGUGAUCUAAACAGGAACCAGAGUAGAUACUUAGGGCUAUAGAUAGCCGAGUUACACCCAUACACAAGUAUUUACAAUGGCCUACGGGGAAGGUGGACUAUACCAUAGACUAGAAUGGGAACUGUGGCAAGGGCAUGAAGCCCUUGCCCCUGGCUUCUAAGUUAAAACUGACCUUAGGUGGGGCUGUUUUUGAUCCCAGUUGUUAACACUGAAUUUUAUCCCAGUUGGUUCCUGCCAGUCCUUCCAAGUUUGCAUUCCUCGGUUUUGUGUAAGAAUCCGGUAACCUCGUUGUACCUUGCCAGUGUGUCACCUAACUUCCCUAUUUUCUUCUGUAUAAAAAGUUUGCUCAAUUUGACAAAUUACAUUCAGAUCCACACUCCCUUGUGUUGAGUCUGUUUGUCACCCCACUUUCACUGACUCCUUUGCCCAUUUGUUACCGGAACACGAGUUUUGCCCGUGGAUCGAGGACCCGAGUGAGGUUCAUCUGUGGCAAUGCUAAACCCAGGAAAUGACACUAUUUGGAGGUGUGGCCUUGUUAGAGUAGGUGUGUCACUAUGGACGUGGGCUUUAAGACCCCAUCCUAGAGCUGGGUGUGGUGGCACAUGCCUUUGAUCCCAGCACUCAGGAGG